GAUGAACGCUAGCGGCGGGCCUAAUACAUGCAAGUCGAACGGGAUUGUUGGUAGUAAUACUGACAUGAGAGUGGCGCACGGGUGCGUAACACGUAUGUAACCUACCUUUAACAGGGGGAUAGCUUCGAGAAAUCGAAAUUAAUACCCCAUAACAUUUAGAAGAGGCAUCUCUUUUUAUCAAAGCUCCGGCGGUUAAAGAUGGACAUGCGGUGCAUUAGCUAGUUGGUGAGGUAACGGCUCACCAAGGCUACGAUGCAUAGGGGGUCUGAGAGGAUGAUCCCCCACACUGGUACUGAGACACGGACCAGACUCCUACGGGAGGCAGCAGUGAGGAAUAUUGGUCAAUGGUCGCAAGACUGAACCAGCCAUGCCGCGUGCAGGAAGACGGUCCUAUGGAUUGUAAACUGCUUUUAUACAGGAAGAAACCCUCCCACGUGUGGGAGCUUGACGGUACUGUAGGAAUAAGGAUCGGCUAACUCCGUG
rnacentral:rRNA from 1 species